rnacentral:rRNA from 1 species
GCUACGGGAGGCAGCAGUGAGGAAUAUUGGUCAAUGGGAGGAAUCCUGAACCAGCCAUGCCGCGUGCAGGACGACGGCUCUACGAGUUGUAAACUGCUUUUGUACCGGGGUAAAAUGCGCUACGAGUAGGGUUUUGAAAGUACGGUACGAAUAAGGAUCGGCUAACUCCGUGCCAGCAGCCGCGGUAAUACGGAGGAUCCGAGCGUUAUCCGGAUUAAUUGGGUUUAAAGGGUGCGGAGGUUGUUUUCUAAGUUAGCGGUGAAAGACCGAGGCUCAAACUCGGGGCUGCCGCUAAUACUGUCGGACUAGAGAUCGGCUGCAGCAGGCGGAAUGUGUAGUGUAGCGGU